CCUAAGUCCCCAACUCAGUAACCCACUCUACUAACCCUUGCUCCACACAAGACACAACGGCGCAGCUCUCCCUCUUUCUCCCUCAUCCUCAAGCUCGUCCUUCCUCUCACCAUCAGCGAGCUGUCUCCGUCACUUCCAUCCAGCUGCUGGAUUGCUCCGGCCACCGUCGCAAGUUGGAGCCUCAAAGAUUACAGUCGCGAUCGUGCAGCUCUCCACCAUCGUCGCCGUUUUAGUUCUGGAAGGACCGUUGUUGGACUCGCCUCCUGCCUCUGUCAUACACCUCUCUUCCAUCGUCGCUGGCGUCAGCUCGGUUGCAUCGUAAAGCACAAUUGCUGGGCUUGCCUCCUGCUCUGUUCCACCAACCAGCGCUACUCCCCUUGGAUCUGCUCUGCUCUAUUUUAUGCUUCUAGGUUCUAGAUGCAGUAUUGUGUUUCCUGUGCCAUCCACUCUCAUGUCGUGAGGGUGCAUUCUCGCACCGAUAGGAGGAACCGCGAGCCGCCAUAGCCCUUUGCCAGGCGUAGAUUAUACUUGUUUCGCCAUUCUUUUAACUUUUCCAUGAGAUGUUGCUUAUUGAUUCUAAUCAGCGCAAAUUAUUUUUGAUUAUCUUUAGCUAUGUUGAAACAAAUUUUGUUCCUAAACUGUGGAGUAUUGCAGUGCUUGGAUAACUAGUUGGAAAUUGAUAUUAAUGGAAAGAAUUGAGGCUGAUACUAAUCUCCUCUUUUCAUAUAUAGAACGGUCUAUAGAGAACAGAGUGCUACUCUUUCAUAUUCAUUUGAAUAAAUCUCAUUUCUUUAAAUUGUAAUUUACGCAAAUCAUAGUUCUAGAUCUUGCAAUUGCAUAUCUAGAACUUGAUAUUAAUGGAAAGAAUUGAGACUGGUCCUAAUCCACUAAGAAUUGCAUCCCGUCCAUCUUUUAGUUUUAGCUAUAUUCAUAUUUUAGAACUGUGAUCACAAUUUUGCAUUCUUAUAACAUUGUCUUCUUGAGCUUAUUCACUUGAGCAUUUGAAUAGAGUUUUGUGACUUAUGUUCUAGGAAUUGUAAGUGAUGGUUAAGCAAUUUUAUAUGUCUUUUAUGUAC